UUUUAAACAAGUUAGUUUCCCAAGAUCUAGUAAUUGGUCUUCCAAAUAUCAAAUUUGAAAUAGAUUCUAUUUGCGAUUCAUGCCAAAAAGGGAAACAAACAAAAGCUUCAUUUAAAUCCAAAAAUAUUGUUUCAACAACUAAACCUUUACAACUUCUUCACAUGGAUCUUUUCGGACCAUCCCGAAUUGAAAGUUUUGGUGGAAAUUUAUAUGCUCUUGUAAUUGUUGAUGACUACUCUCGAUUCACAUGGACUUUAUUUCUAGCUCAUAAAAGUGAUGCUUUUCAAGCUUUCAAAAGCUUUCUCAAACGUGUUCAAAAUGAAAAGAACACAACCGUCACUUCCAUAAGAAGUGAUCAUGGAGGAGAGUUCGAUCACAAUCUCUUUUCGGAUUUUUGUGACGAACUCGGUAUUGAACAUACCUUUUCAGCUCCACGUACACCACAACAAAAUGGAGUGGAGGAACGGAAAAAUAGGUGUCUCGAAGAGAUGGCUAGAACCAUGCUCGAUGAGGCUAAGAUUCCCAAACAAUGAAAAAUCGUUGCCUCGAAGAGAUGGCUAGAACCAUGCUCGAUGAGUCAAAGCUUUCCAAGAAAUUUUGGGUGGAUGCCGUGAGUACCGCUUGCUAUGUUCUAAACAGAGCAGUCAUUCGACCGAUACUCAU
rnacentral:lncRNA from 1 species